rnacentral:lncRNA from 1 species
UGAGUUGUAUUCAUAAAUAAUAAAAUAUUGAAUAAAAAGAAAUUUUAUAUAUGCCCACUUUUUAUACCACCCUCAAUGUUUAUUAUUUAGAACUCUGUUUUCUAUUUUGCUUUCAUAUUAUUUUUUGGUAUUUUCUUUUUUAUAUUUUUUUUUCUUUUUUUUACAGAGCUCUAGAUAAUAAAAAUAUCAGAUGUUAAAGGUUGUAGCUUUAAACAAAGCGAUUCAAAAUCAAAUAAUUGCAAAAUUUUAAGACAAUGUUAGCAUGUAAUAUUCAGAAAAAAAAAAUGGCUCCAAAUUACUAAAAUGAAAAAAAACUGCACUUUCAAUUAAAUAUUCCAAUUUUUAAAGCCAUUUUUGGCAUACAAAAUAUACAGCUUAACAAAAUGACAAGUUAAUACACUAAUAAAAGAAAAGAACUAUUCAGCACAAAAUAAUUUACCAAAAACUGAGUUGUAUUCAUAAAUAAUAAAAUAUUGAAUAAAAAGAAAUUUUAUAUAUGCCCACUUUUUAUACCACCCUCAAUGUUUAUUUUCUAGAACUCUGUUUACAAAUUUUGUUUUCAUAUUAUUUUUUGGUAUAUCCUUUUUUUCUAUUUUUUUCUAUUUUUUUUUAACAGAGCUCUAGAUAAUAAAAAUAUCAGAUGUUAAAGGUUGGAGGUAUAAAAAAGUCAUUCUCAAUCAGAAUAUUGCAAAAUUUUAAUGUUAUUGGAUUUUCUCAUUGUUGAAGCCCAUACAGUAACCUAUUUUAUAUUAACACCAUUUGGUCUCUGUAGGAUAGUUGUCUCACAUCUCUUUGAUAUCAUAACAAAUCAAUUUGUAGGUUCUAUAAAGUGGGCCAAUGUUCACACAUUGUUUUUAUUUGAACAGCAAUUUUCAGAUCUCAGGACAAGUUUUCUUUGGAACACAUUAUAAAUUUUUGUUUUUCAAAUGAUUUCAACUGACAUAAACAAGACUGGAAAGGUCGAAAUUACCAAAAUGCUAAUUUCACUAUUAUUGGUUCUUUUGUCGUGCCCAGCUCUUAAUGAUGGAAAACCCUGUAUCACAGUAACAUUCCUUUAAAUGAACUGGAGAAGUCUUGAUUACAAUAAUCAUAUUGCUUUUUACUUUUCAACACUAUUGGAUCUUGUGUCAUACCAGCUUUAGAUGGUGGAUGGAGUAUAUGGAGGUGUUAAGAAUUGCACAAGAGGUGUUCCUGCUACCUCUCUAUAUGUAGACAAUGUCACUGUUGUUGUGACGUUCUCAUUUCUAAGCCUUAAUUUAUGUCCGUUACAACGCCCUUAGGGAGAAAAACUACACCCUCAAAUGGACUGUAGAAGUCCAGAUUACAAUAAUGGUACUUUCAGCACCAUUGCACGGUUUGGUUGUCUUGCCCAGCUCUUAAUGGUCCAAAAUGCUGUACAAUGGAUUAUGUUUUAAAAAUUGAAGAUAAAAGAUUAAGUUUUGAAUAUCUUCUUUUUUUCUCUGAAGAUGGCAAAUCAAAUUAUUAAUUCACGAGCUCUAGAUAAUAAAAAUAUCAGGUGUUAAAGUUUGGAGGUAUAAACAAGUCAUUCUCAAUCAAAAUAUUGCAAAAUUGUAAUGUUAGUGGAUUUUCUCAUUGUUGAAGCCCAUACAGUAACCUAUUUUACAUUAACAUCAUUUGGUCUCUGUAGGAUAGUUGUCUCACAUCUCUUUGAUAUCAUAACAAAUCAAUUUGUAGGUUCUAUAAAGUGGGCCAAGAGUGAAGGUAGGGGAAAUUUUGACUGCCAACCGAGGAGGAAAUUGUUGGACAGAAAUUUGGCCUAAUGCAACAAGCCACGUCCUACUGACACCUCAAAAGAGUUGUGACAAGGGUUCUUUAACAUGCAGAGUUGCACUGUCCCUACAGAAAGGACCUAUACUUUUUAAACUGCCAUUCCAAUUUUUGUUUUGUUUUAAAUAUGAUAACUUUAGAAGACUUAAAGGCGGGGGGUCAUAAAAAUAUCAAAAAUAAUCCCACCCUCAAUGUUUAUUAUCUAGAACUCUGUUUUCUAUUUUGCUUUCAUAUUAUUUUUUGGUAUUUUCUUUUUUAUAUAUUUUUUUCUUUUUUUUUUACAGAGCUCUAGAUAAUAAAAAUAUUCAGAUGUUAAAGUUUGGAGGUAUAAAAACAAGUCAUUCUAAAUCAGAAUAUUGCACAAUUUUAAUGUUAGUGGAUUUUCUCAUUGUUGAAGCCCAUACAGUAACCUAUUUUACAUUAACAUCAUUUGGUCUCUGUAGGAUAGUUGUCUCACAUCUCUUGAUAUCACAACAAAUCAAUUUGUAGGUUCUAUAAAGUGGUCCAAUCCUAUGGUGAAGGGAGGGGGAAUUUUGACUGCCAACCGAAGAGGAUAUUUUUGGACAGAAAUUUAGCCUAUUAAUGCAACAAGCCACAUCCUACUGACACCUCAAAAGAGUUGUGACAAGGGUUCUUUAACGUGCAGAGUGGCACUGUCUGUCCCUACAAAUAGGACCUAUACUUUCCCGCUACCUCUAUGUGUAGACAACAUCACUGUUGUGACAUUCUUAUUUCUAAGCCUUAAUUUAUGUCCGUUACAACGCCCUUAGGGAGGAAAUAGUAGCAGAUAGUAGCAGAUAUUACUACACCCUCAAAUGGAUUGUAGAAGUCCAGUUUACAAUAAUGGUACUUUCAGCACCAUAACCUGCUUUGGUUGUCUUGUCCAGCUCUCAAUGGUCCAAAAUGCUGUACAAUGGAUUAUGAUUUAAAAAUUGAAGAUAAAAGAUUAAGUUUUGAAUAUAUCUACUUUUUUUCUUUGAAGAUGGCAAAUCAAAUUAUUAAUUCAUUAAAAAUUCAGAAUAACUCAAAUCUUUACACCACACAAACGCGACAACAAAGAAUGUGCAAUGAAAAGAAUUGAGUUAUUGUUUGAAACAUCAAAAAUGUUAAAGUUUCACGCAUUGUUUUUUAUUUGAACAGCAAUUUUCAGAUCUCAGGACAAGUUUUCUUUGGAACACACUCAGGACAAGUUAUCUUUGGAAGACAUUAUAAAUUUCUGUUUUGCAAAAGAUUAAAAGUUUUGGAUACUUUCUUUUUUUCUUUGAAGAUAACAAAUCUAAUUAUUAAUUCAUUAAAAAUUCAGACUAACCCAAUUGUUUACACCACACAAACUUUCCGGAGGUAACAUAUUUAUUUUUUGUCCAUUCUUUUUUCUUUCUUUUUUUCUUUUUUUUAAAAUAUACUGCAGUGCCAACAAAGAAUGUGCAAUGACAAGAAAUGAGUUAUUGUUUGAAAAUCAAAAAUGUUAAAUGUUCACAUUGUUUUUAUUUGAACAGCAAUUUUCAGAUCUCAGGACAAGUUUUCUUUGGAACACAUUAUAAAUUUUUGUUUUUCAAAUGAUUUCAACUGACAUAAACAAGACUGGAAAGGUCGAAAUUACCAAAAUGCUAAUUUCACUAUUAUUGGUUCUUUUGUCGUGCCCAGCUCUUAAUGAUGGAAAACCCUGUAUCACAGUAACAUUCCUUUAAAUGAACUGGAGAAGUCUUGAUUACAAUAAUCAUAUUGCUUUUUACUUUUCAACACUAUUGGAUCUUGUGUCAUACCAGCUUUAGAUGGUGGAUGGAGUAUAUGGAGGUGUUAAGAAUUGCACAAGAGGUGUUCCUGCUACCUCUCUAUAUGUAGACAAUGUCACUGUUGUUGUGACGUUCUUAUUUCUAAGCCUUAAUUUAUGUCCGUUACAACGCCCUUAGGGAGGAAAACUACACCCUCAAAUGGACUGUAGAAGUCCAGAUUACAAUAAUGGUACUUUCAGCACCAUUGCACGGUUUGGUUGUCUUGCCCAGCUCUUAAUGGUCCAAAAUGCUGUACAAUGGAUUAUGAUUUAAAAAUUGAAGAUAAAAGAUUAAGUUUUGAAUAUAUCUACUUUUUUUCUUUGAAGAUGGCAAAUCAAAUUAUUAAUUCAUUAAAAAUUCAGAAUAACUCAAAUCUUUACACCACACAAACGCGACAACAAAGAAUGUGCAAUGAAAAGAAUUGAGUUAUUGUUUGAAACAUCAAAAAUGUUAAAGUUUCACGCAUUGUUUUUUAUUUGAACAGCAAUUUUCAGAUCUCAGGACAAGUUUUCUUUGGAACACACUCAGGACAAGUUAUCUUUGGAAGACAUUAUAAAUUUCUGUUUUGCAAAAGAUUAAAAGUUUUGGAUACUUUCUUUUUUUCUUUGAAGAUAACAAAUCUAAUUAUUAAUUCAUUAAAAAUUCAGACUAACCCAAUUGUUUACACCACACAAACUUUCCGGAGGUAACAUAUUUAUUUUUUGUCCAUUCUUUUUUCUUUCUUUUUUUCUUUUUUUUAAAAUAUACUGCAGUGCCAACAAAGAAUGUGCAAUGACAAGAAAUGAGUUAUUGUUUGAAAAUCAAAAAUGUUAAAUGUUCACAUUGUUUUUAUUUGAACAGCAAUUUUCAGAUCUCAGGACAAGUUUUCUUUGGAACACAUUAUAAAUUUUUGUUUUUCAAAUGAUUUCAACUGACAUAAACAAGACUGGAAAGGUCGAAAUUACCAAAAUGCUAAUUUCACUAUUAUUGGUUCUUUUGUCGUGCCCAGCUCUUAAUGAUGGAAAACCCUGUAUCACAGUAACAUUCCUUUAAAUGAACUGGAGAAGUCUUGAUUACAAUAAUCAUAUUGCUUUUUACUUUUCAACACUAUUGGAUCUUGUGUCAUACCAGCUUUAGAUGGUGGAUGGAGUAUAUGGAGGUGUUAAGAAUUGCACAAGAGGUGUUCCUGCUACCUCUCUAUAUGUAGACAAUGUCACUGUUGUUGUGACGUUCUCAUUUCUAAGCCUUAAUUUAUGUCCGUUACAACGCCCUUAGGGAGAAAAACUACACCCUCAAAUGGACUGUAGAAGUCCAGAUUACAAUAAUGGUACUUUCAGCACCAUUGCACGGUUUGGUUGUCUUGCCCAGCUCUUAAUGGUCCAAAAUGCUGUACAAUGGAUUAUGUUUUAAAAAUUGAAGAUAAAAGAUUAAGUUUUGAAUAUCUUCUUUUUUUCUCUGAAGAUGGCAAAUCAAAUUAUUAAUUCACGAGCUCUAGAUAAUAAAAAUAUCAGGUGUUAAAGUUUGGAGGUAUAAACAAGUCAUUCUCAAUCAAAAUAUUGCAAAAUUGUAAUGUUAGCGGAUUUUCUCAUUGUUGAAGCCCAUACAGUAACCUAUUUUACAUUAACAUCAUUUGGUCUCUGUAGGAUAGUUGUCUCACAUCUCUUGAUAUCACAACAAAUCAAUUUGUAGGUUCUAUAAAGUGGGCCAAUGGUGAAGGUAGGGGAAAUUUUGACUGUCAAUCGAGGAGGAAAUUAUUGGACAGAAAUUUGGCCUAACGCAACAAGCCAAGUCCUACUAACACCUCAAAAGAGUUGUGACAAGGGUUCUUCAACGUGCAGAGUUGCACUGUCCCUACAGAAAGGACCUAUACUUUUUAAACUGCCAUUCCAAUUUUUUUUGUUUUAAAUAUGAGAACUUUAGAAGACUUAAAGGUGGGGGUCAUAAAAAUAUCAAAAUUAUCCCACCCUCAAUGUUUAUUAUCUAGAACUAUGUUUUCUAUUUUGCUUUCAUAUUAUUUUUUGGUAUUUUCUUUUUUAUAUUUUUUUUUCUUUUUUUUUUUACAAAGCUCUAGAUAAUAAAAAUAUCAGAUGUUAAAGUUUGGAGGUAUAAACAAGUCAUUCUAAAUCAGAAUAUUGCAAAAUUUUAAUGUUAGUGGAUUUUCUCAUUGUUGAAGCCCAUACAGUAACCUAUUUUACAUUAACAUCAUUUGGUCUCUGUAGGAUAGUUGUCUCACAUCUCUUGAUAUCACAACAAAUCAAUUUGUAGGUUCUAUAAAGUGGUCCAAUCCUAUGGUGAAGGGAGGGGGAAUUUUGACUGCCAACCGAAGAGGAUAUUUUUGGACAGAAAUUUAGCCUAUUAAUGCAACAAGCCACAUCCUACUGACACCUCAAAAGAGUUGUGACAAGGGUUCUUUAACGUGCAGAGUGGCACUGUCUGUCCCUACAAAUAGGACCUAUACUUUCCCGCUACCUCUAUGUGUAGACAACAUCACUGUUGUGACAUUCUUAUUUCUAAGCCUUAAUUUAUGUCCGUUACAACGCCCUUAGGGAGGAAAUAGUAGCAGAUAGUAGCAGAUAUUACUACACCCUCAAAUGGAUUGUAGAAGUCCAGUUUACAAUAAUGGUACUUUCAGCACCAUAACCUGCUUUGGUUGUCUUGUCCAGCUCUCAAUGGUCCAAAAUGCUGUACAAUGGAUUAUGAUUUAAAAAUUGAAGAUAAAAGAUUAAGUUUUGAAUAUAUCUACUUUUUUUCUUUGAAGAUGGCAAAUCAAAUUAUUAAUUCAUUAAAAAUUCAGAAUAACUCAAAUCUUUACACCACACAAACGCGACAACAAAGAAUGUGCAAUGAAAAGAAUUGAGUUAUUGUUUGAAACAUCAAAAAUGUUAAAGUUUCACGCAUUGUUUUUUAUUUGAACAGCAAUUUUCAGAUCUCAGGACAAGUUUUCUUUGGAACACACUCAGGACAAGUUAUCUUUGGAAGACAUUAUAAAUUUCUGUUUUGCAAAAGAUUAAAAGUUUUGGAUACUUUCUUUUUUUCUUUGAAGAUAACAAAUCUAAUUAUUAAUUCAUUAAAAAUUCAGACUAACCCAAUUGUUUACACCACACAAACUUUCCGGAGGUAACAUAUUUAUUUUUUGUCCAUUCUUUUUUCUUUCUUUUUUUCUUUUUUUUAAAAUAUACUGCAGUGCCAACAAAGAAUGUGCAAUGACAAGAAAUGAGUUAUUGUUUGAAAAUCAAAAAUGUUAAAUGUUCACAUUGUUUUUAUUUGAACAGCAAUUUUCAGAUCUCAGGACAAGUUUUCUUUGGAACACAUUAUAAAUUUUUGUUUUUCAAAUGAUUUCAACUGACAUAAACAAGACUGGAAAGGUCGAAAUUACCAAAAUGCUAAUUUCACUAUUAUUGGUUCUUUUGUCGUGCCCAGCUCUUAAUGAUGGAAAACCCUGUAUCACAGUAACAUUCCUUUAAAUGAACUGGAGAAGUCUUGAUUACAAUAAUCAUAUUGCUUUUUACUUUUCAACACUAUUGGAUCUUGUGUCAUACCAGCUUUAGAUGGUGGAUGGAGUAUAUGGAGGUGUUAAGAAUUGCACAAGAGGUGUUCCUGCUACCUCUCUAUAUGUAGACAAUGUCACUGUUGUUGUGACGUUCUCAUUUCUAAGCCUUAAUUUAUGUCCGUUACAACGCCCUUAGGGAGAAAAACUACACCCUCAAAUGGACUGUAGAAGUCCAGAUUACAAUAAUGGUACUUUCAGCACCAUUGCACGGUUUGGUUGUCUUGCCCAGCUCUUAAUGGUCCAAAAUGCUGUACAAUGGAUUAUGUUUUAAAAAUUGAAGAUAAAAGAUUAAGUUUUGAAUAUCUUCUUUUUUUCUCUGAAGAUGGCAAAUCAAAUUAUUAAUUCACGAGCUCUAGAUAAUAAAAAUAUCAGGUGUUAAAGUUUGGAGGUAUAAACAAGUCAUUCUCAAUCAAAAUAUUGCAAAAUUGUAAUGUUAGUGGAUUUUCUCAUUGUUGAAGCCCAUACAGUAACCUAUUUUACAUUAACAUCAUUUGGUCUCUGUAGGAUAGUUGUCUCACAUCUCUUGAUAUCACAACAAAUCAAUUUGUAGGUUCUAUAAAGUGGGCCAAUGGUGAAGGUAGGGGAAAUUUUGACUGUCAAUCGAGGAGGAAAUUAUUGGACAGAAAUUUGGCCUAACGCAACAAGCCAAGUCCUACUAACACCUCAAAAGAGUUGUGACAAGGGUUCUUCAACGUGCAGAGUUGCACUGUCCCUACAGAAAGGACCUAUACUUUUUAAACUGCCAUUCCAAUUUUUUUUGUUUUAAAUAUGAGAACUUUAGAAGACUUAAAGGUGGGGGUCAUAAAAAUAUCAAAAUUAUCCCACCCUCAAUGUUUAUUAUCUAGAACUAUGUUUUCUAUUUUGCUUUCAUAUUAUUUUUUGGUAUUUUCUUUUUUAUAUUUUUUUUUCUUUUUUUUUUUACAAAGCUCUAGAUAAUAAAAAUAUCAGAUGUUAAAGUUUGGAGGUAUAAACAAGUCAUUCUAAAUCAGAAUAUUGCAAAAUUUUAAUGUUAGUGGAUUUUCUCAUUGUUGAAGCCCAUACAGUAACCUAUUUUACAUUAACAUCAUUUGGUCUCUGUAGGAUAGUUGUCUCACAUCUCUUGAUAUCACAACAAAUCAAUUUGUAGGUUCUAUAAAGUGGUCCAAUCCUAUGGUGAAGGGAGGGGGAAUUUUGACUGCCAACCGAAGAGGAUAUUUUUGGACAGAAAUUUAGCCUAUUAAUGCAACAAGCCACAUCCUACUGACACCUCAAAAGAGUUGUGACAAGGGUUCUUUAACGUGCAGAGUGGCACUGUCUGUCCCUACAAAUAGGACCUAUACUUUCCCGCUACCUCUAUGUGUAGACAACAUCACUGUUGUGACAUUCUUAUUUCUAAGCCUUAAUUUAUGUCCGUUACAACGCCCUUAGGGAGGAAAUAGUAGCAGAUAGUAGCAGAUAUUACUACACCCUCAAAUGGAUUGUAGAAGUCCAGUUUACAAUAAUGGUACUUUCAGCACCAUAACCUGCUUUGGUUGUCUUGUCCAGCUCUCAAUGGUCCAAAAUGCUGUACAAUGGAUUAUGAUUUAAAAAUUGAAGAUAAAAGAUUAAGUUUUGAAUAUAUCUACUUUUUUUCUUUGAAGAUGGCAAAUCAAAUUAUUAAUUCAUUAAAAAUUCAGAAUAACUCAAAUCUUUACACCACACAAACGCGACAACAAAGAAUGUGCAAUGAAAAGAAUUGAGUUAUUGUUUGAAACAUCAAAAAUGUUAAAGUUUCACGCAUUGUUUUUUAUUUGAACAGCAAUUUUCAGAUCUCAGGACAAGUUUUCUUUGGAACACACUCAGGACAAGUUAUCUUUGGAAGACAUUAUAAAUUUCUGUUUUGCAAAAGAUUAAAAGUUUUGGAUACUUUCUUUUUUUCUUUGAAGAUAACAAAUCUAAUUAUUAAUUCAUUAAAAAUUCAGACUAACCCAAUUGUUUACACCACACAAACUUUCCGGAGGUAACAUAUUUAUUUUUUGUCCAUUCUUUUUUCUUUCUUUUUUUCUUUUUUUUAAAAUAUACUGCAGUGCCAACAAAGAAUGUGCAAUGACAAGAAAUGAGUUAUUGUUUGAAAAUCAAAAAUGUUAAAUGUUCACAUUGUUUUUAUUUGAACAGCAAUUUUCAGAUCUCAGGACAAGUUUUCUUUGGAACACAUUAUAAAUUUUUGUUUUUCAAAUGAUUUCAACUGACAUAAACAAGACUGGAAAGGUCGAAAUUACCAAAAUGCUAAUUUCACUAUUAUUGGUUCUUUUGUCGUGCCCAGCUCUUAAUGAUGGAAAACCCUGUAUCACAGUAACAUUCCUUUAAAUGAACUGGAGAAGUCUUGAUUACAAUAAUCAUAUUGCUUUUUACUUUUCAACACUAUUGGAUCUUGUGUCAUACCAGCUUUAGAUGGUGGAUGGAGUAUAUGGAGGUGUUAAGAAUUGCACAAGAGGUGUUCCUGCUACCUCUCUAUAUGUAGACAAUGUCACUGUUGUUGUGACGUUCUUAUUUCUAAGCCUUAAUUUAUGUCCGUUACAACGCCCUUAGGGAGGAAAAACUACACCCUCAAAUGGACUGUAGAAGUCCAGAUUACAAUAAUGGUACUUUCAGCACCAUUGCACGGUUUGGUUGUCUUGCCCAGCUCUUAAUGGUCCAAAAUGCUGUACAAUGGAUUAUGUUUUAAAAAUUGAAGAUAAAAGAUUAAGUUUUGAAUAUCUUCUUUUUUUCUCUGAAGAUGGCAAAUCAAAUUAUUAAUUCACGAGCUCUAGAUAAUAAAAAUAUCAGGUGUUAAAGUUUGGAGGUAUAAACAAGUCAUUCUCAAUCAAAAUAUUGCAAAAUUGUAAUGUUAGUGGAUUUUCUCAUUGUUGAAGCCCAUACAGUAACCUAUUUUACAUUAACAUCAUUUGGUCUCUGUAGGAUAGUUGUCUCACAUCUCUUGAUAUCACAACAAAUCAAUUUGUAGGUUCUAUAAAGUGGGCCAAUGGUGAAGGUAGGGGAAAUUUUGACUGUCAAUCGAGGAGGAAAUUAUUGGACAGAAAUUUGGCCUAACGCAACAAGCCAAGUCCUACUAACACCUCAAAAGAGUUGUGACAAGGGUUCUUCAACGUGCAGAGUUGCACUGUCCCUACAGAAAGGACCUAUACUUUUUAAACUGCCAUUCCAAUUUUUUUUGUUUUAAAUAUGAGAACUUUAGAAGACUUAAAGGUGGGGGUCAUAAAAAUAUCAAAAUUAUCCCACCCUCAAUGUUUAUUAUCUAGAACUAUGUUUUCUAUUUUGCUUUCAUAUUAUUUUUUGGUAUUUUCUUUUUUAUAUUUUUUUUUCUUUUUUUUUUUACAAAGCUCUAGAUAAUAAAAAUAUCAGAUGUUAAAGUUUGGAGGUAUAAACAAGUCAUUCUAAAUCAGAAUAUUGCAAAAUUUUAAUGUUAGUGGAUUUUCUCAUUGUUGAAGCCCAUACAGUAACCUAUUUUACAUUAACAUCAUUUGGUCUCUGUAGGAUAGUUGUCUCACAUCUCUUGAUAUCACAACAAAUCAAUUUGUAGGUUCUAUAAAGUGGUCCAAUCCUAUGGUGAAGGGAGGGGGAAUUUUGACUGCCAACCGAAGAGGAUAUUUUUGGACAGAAAUUUAGCCUAUUAAUGCAACAAGCCACAUCCUACUGACACCUCAAAAGAGUUGUGACAAGGGUUCUUUAACGUGCAGAGUGGCACUGUCUGUCCCUACAAAUAGGACCUAUACUUUCCCGCUACCUCUAUGUGUAGACAACAUCACUGUUGUGACAUUCUUAUUUCUAAGCCUUAAUUUAUGUCCGUUACAACGCCCUUAGGGAGGAAAUAGUAGCAGAUAUUACUACACCCUCAAAUGGAUUGUAGAAGUCCAGUUUACAAUAAUGGUACUUUCAGCACCAUAACCCGCUUUGGUUGUCUUGUCCAGCUCUUAAUGGUCCAAAAUGCUGUACAAUGGAUUAUGAUUUAAAAAUUGAAGAUAAAAGAUUAAGUUUUGAAUAUAUCUACUUUUUUUCUUUGAAGAUGGCAAAUCAAAUUAUUAAUUCAUUAAAAAUUCAGAAUAACUCAAAUCUUUACACCACACAAACGCGCCAACAAAGAAUGUGCAAUGAAAAGAAUUGAGUUAUUGUUUGAAACAUCAAAAAUGUUAAAGUUUCACGCAUUGUUUUUUAUUUGAACAGCAAUUUUCAGAUCUCAGGACAAGUUUUCUUUGGAACACACUCAGGACAAGUUAUCUUUGGAAGACAUUAUAAAUUUCUGUUUUGCAAAAGAUUAAAAGUUUUGGAUACUUUCUUUUUUUCUUUGAAGAUAACAAAUCUAAUUAUUAAUUCAUUAAAAAUUCAGACUAACCCAAUUGUUUACACCACACAAACUUUCCGGAUAACAUAUUUAUUUUUUGUCCAUUCUUUUUUCUUUCUUUUUUUAAAAUAUACUGCAGUGCCAACAAAGAAUGUGCAAUGACAAGAAAUGAGUUAUUGUUUGAAAAUCAAAAAUGUUAAAUGUUCACAUUGUUUUUAUUUGAACAGCAAUUUUCAGAUCUCAGGACAAGUUUUCUUUGGAACACAUUAUAAAUUUUUGUUUUUCAAAUGAUUUCAACUGACAUAAACAAGACUGGAAAGGUCGAAAUUACCAAAAUGCUAAUUUCACUAUUAUUGGUUCUUUUGUCGUGCCCAGCUCUUAAUGAUGGAAAACCCUGUAUCACAGUAACAUUCCUUUAAAUGAACUGGAGAAGUCUUGAUUACAAUAAUCAUAUUGCUUUUUACUUUUCAACACUAUUGGAUCUUGUGUCAUACCAGCUUUAGAUGGUGGAUGGAGUAUAUGGAGGUGUUAAGAAUUGCACAAGAGGUGUUCCUGCUACCUCUCUAUAUGUAGACAACGUCACUGUUGUUGUGACGUUCUUAUUUCUAAGCCUUAAUUUAUGUCCGUUACAACGCCCUUAGGGAGGAAAACUACACCCUCAAAUGGACUGUAGAAGUCCAGAUUACAAUAAUGGUACUUUCAGCACCAUUGCACGGUUUGGUUGUCUUGCCCAGCUCUUAAUGGUCCAAAAUGCUGUACAAUGGAUUAUGUUUUAAAAAUUGAAGAUAAAAGAUUAAGUUUUGAAUAUCUUCUUUUUUUCUCUGAAGAUGGCAAAUCAAAUUAUUAAUUCACGAGCUCUAGAUAAUAAAAAUAUCAGGUGUUAAAGUUUGGAGGUAUAAA